rnacentral:rRNA from 1 species
AUUGAACGCUGGCGGCAUGCCUUACGCAUGCAAGUCGAACGGCAGCACGGGUGCUUGCCCCUGGUGGCGAGUGGCGAACGGGUGAGUAAUACAUCGGAACAUGUCCUGUAGUGGGGGAUAGCCCGGCGAAAGCCGGAUUAAUACCGCAUACGAUCUACGGAUGAAAGCGGGGGACCUUCGGGCCUCGCGCUAUAGGGUUGGCCGAUAGCUGAUUAGCUAGUUGGUGGGGUAAAGGCCUACCAAGGCGACGAUCAGUAGCUGGUCUGAGAGGACGACCAGCCACACUGGGACUGAGACACGGCCCAGACUCCUACGGGAGGCAGCAGUGGGGAAUUUUGGACAAUGGGCGAAAGCCUGAUCCAGCAAUGCCGCGUGUGUGAAGAAGGCCUUCGGGUUGUAAAGCACUUUUGUCCGGAAAGAAAUCCUUGGCUCUAAUACAGUCGGGGGAUGACGGUACCGGAAGAAUAAGCACCGGCUAACUACGUG